CUCUUUCUGCUGGAGCACUAUCGGGUACCAGCAUAGAGGAGCUAUGGGUUCAUUGGAAAACUGGGACCUAACACUUCAUGCUGAUUGUCGGCACCAAAGAAGAGUAGGGUUGCUUUAUCAGCUCUCACUUUAAUGUGGAUACACGACAGGCCAAGCCCUGUGGUGCAUCCUUAGCAAAAUCUCUUCCUGAUGUUACUGGGUCUGAGGCACAGAGUCAGGUCUUGUACAUAAAUAUAAAAGGGACAGAAGAAAGACUUUAAAAAGCUGCAGGAGACAAUGACUCACAGCAUGAACACAGGCUCUCCCAUCACCCUCAUUGUUGGCAGAAUAUUUAUUAUCAAAAACAAAAAGAUUGGACUACUGGAAAGUUCUGGGCUUUCAUCAUGAAAUUAUCACAUAAUUGUACUUUUCAGGAGGGAAAUUUUUUCAGGGAAUAAGUGUCUAAAAGAAACAGACAUGGAACACACACAUACAACCAACACACUGAAUUCCAGGAGGCAAGUUUUCUCCACUUGAACCGCUCUCUUGAAUCAGCUCGUGGCUGAUCCAACAACUGUGUAAAAGAAUCAUUAACCCAACUGGAAAAAAGCCCUCAGAACGUGCUGGAGCUAACUUAGUUGUGUGACACAUGCAGUCUGAGAGGCUGUUCUAUCAGAAGAGAUAGCAACCUGAGCACGUUGUCUCUCCCAGGCAACUCAGCAGUCUGGGAACGAGGCCAGGCUUCUGGAACACUCUACUCCAGUGUAAUUGACUCCAGGUACUUUGUUACUCUGAUGUGACAGCUUUUAUCUGCUCAUAAAGAUACCACAUCAGAUUUUUAAAAAAAUUCUGUGGGUCUCUCUCUGAGAAGUGUUCUUCCAUUCGAUUCUACAAAAACCCCACUCAAAUGAAGUCUCUGACCCGGUGCAGAGCUCCGUUAGCAGAGAGGUUGAGAAGUGAGGGAGAUGUGAUCAAUCCUUUCUUUCCCCUUAAGCAACAUAUACGUAUGUAUUGUCCCUCCCCCCUAAUUUUUGUAGUGGAAGGAUGGCAGUAAAUGACCUGAAAUAACCUCAAUACAUGAUUUUAAUUUGGUACUUUGGCCUGGCAUUGGAUAUGAAUGAUAGUAGUUGCUCUUUUCUCAUUAGCAAAACUAGAAGGUUCAGAUAAAAUCUCCUGCUCUAUGAACACAGCAUUUCUUACUAGAAUGUUUUUCCUUGCAAACUCAUAGACAUGGGUUGACGCUCAGACCUGAUGUAUUAAAUUGCAGGUACUUAUUCGUGAAAUGAAUGAUUUGGGUUUUUUUUUCAACCCGGGAAUGUUUUCGCCAUACUGGAAUUGGAAUGCAGUGGAAAAUCUUCGAUAGAAAGAUAAUCUAUUGCAGCAUAGUGGGGCAGCUAUAAAAACUUGCCUGCCGAAGUUUUUCUGGAAUGUUAACUGACAGCAGGAUUACCUAUGUGGCAGUCAAUUCUCUGGUAGGUUUCAGAUUUGCUAUGGGCUAGUGGUCCAGCCUCAUAUCUUGAUAAAAUUAAGCAGUUAAGCUGAGAUGUUAAAAUCAUUGUCUGGACUUGUAACACCAGAAUUUUGUUUUUUUCAAUGUGUGGUUUUUCUCCUCCCAUGAUAAACAUUGGAAAUAUCUUUAGCUAAUUUAAAAACUAUUUAUUAUACAGUCAACCUGUAAACAAAAAUUCUAAAUUAUCUCACCAGUGAACACAAGCACGAACCUGUAUCAAGAUGAAAGUGCUUUGGAAGCAUCAUUUUGAGUCUAUUUAAGGUCUAUGCCCAUUCCUUCACUCUAACCUGCAAUAAAGGAUCAAUGACAAAUCAAUAGAUUAAAUAAGUAAAUUAAAUCAACCAGAGGAGCACUAACUGUUCCUUCAAUUAAACUUAAGUCAGCUCUUAUUUGGCCUUUUCCUCAAUUUAAUUAUUCUGUCCAUUUUCGGUUAUAAGAA